UGAUUGGUACGUCUGCAGGUAG
rnacentral:miRNA from 1 species